GACGAACGCUGGCGGCGUGCUUAACACAUGCAAGUCGAACGGAAAGGCCCUGCUUUUGUGGGGUGCUCGAGUGGCGAACGGGUGAGUAACACGUGAGUAACCUGCCCUUGACUUUGGGAUAACUUCAGGAAACUGGGGCUAAUACCGGAUAGGAGCUCCUGCUGCAUGGUGGGGGUUGGAAAGUUUCGGCGGUUGGGGAUGGACUCGCGGCUUAUCAGCUUGUUGGUGGGGUAGUGGCUUACCAAGGCUUUGACGGGUAGCCGGCCUGAGAGGGUGACCGGCCACAUUGGGACUGAGAGACGGCCCAGACUCCUACGGGAGGCAGCAGUGGGGAAUAUUGCACAAUGGGCGGAAGCCUGAUGCAGCAACGCUGCGUGCGGGAUGACGGCCUUCGGGUUGUAAACCGCUUUCGCCUGUGACGAAGCGUGAGUGACGGUAAUGGGUAAAGAAGCACCGGCUAACUACGUG
rnacentral:rRNA from 1 species